AAGAAAAAAUGACAUAAGUUAACAGCGGCUACUGUCAAGGUGUGGUGAGAAAAGGGGAAUGAGAGAACCAAGGGCUCAAGCGGAAGGAGAGUGGCUUGGGCAUGUUCUUUCCAAUGUUACUCGCGAUCCCAGACGGACGUCUGAGGAAAAUACUCAAGUAGUGCAGUGAAAGGAAAAAUUCUAACCUCGACCGUAAUUACCGCGUGUCCAUCGUGGCUAAGACCUAGUCAAAAGAUCAGCCGACCAUUCCUACGUUUAUUAAGCGAAGGCCGAACCCAUCGGGUUUGGCCGUACGUAAUACCGUACGAAAUGCCGGUCGUAGUGCCGUAAGCCGUACCCACUACAGUCUCGUCACCUUACCACACAUAUAAAUACCCAGCGUCCCGAUCGACUACAGUAUGUG